CAGGGUCAGACAAAGAAAGAAAAAAACAAUGACAGAGCUCAAGAAGAAGCUUUGAGAAAAAGUCUUGGAAUACAACAUCCUGGUGGAAGGAGAUCAAAUUGACGAGGAGUUGGCUUGCAGUCUCACAGAGGGCUAUGUCCUUCCAUUGGAGAGACAUGAAGAUGGCUGAAGAGGUCUGUCUUUGACCAGGUCAUGCUGGUCAGACGCUUGGAGGAGGAGCAGAUCAUCCUUGUGUGUCUCAACACAUCAAGUACCUUCUUGGGGACAUGCAAGAACUUGAGGAAGUCAAAGAACAGACUUUGGAGAGCAUCAAAACCAGCAAUUUCAUUGACCUGACAGAGGAUGCUUCACAUGGGCUCAUCAGUGUCCUCAAUCGCAGGCUGCACUUACUCAGAUGUCAACACAAAAAAGCAGUGCAUGCAUACAGCAGUGUAGCUGCUGUGGACUCUGAUUUACUCUCCAUACCAGAGGACAGUGAGGAGUGGUAUAACAAUGGCCUGAUCCAGAGGAAGACGAUGUUUGCUGAGAGCCGACGGUGGUGGUUCCUGGUGUCCUGGUGGUGGUUUCCCCCUUAUUGUGUGCCAUGUAUCCCUGGUCUUUAGUUGGCUCACCGUGUGAGUGAGUGUGAUUACCACGAGUGAUUGGGGUGUUUUUCUUCCCUGGGAUCACCUAUUCCUCGAUCCAUGCACCAGUGGUAAGUCAGCUCCUGAAUAAAGUUCCCCCUUCCCUGUGUGUGUGUGUGUGUGUGUGUGUGUG